rnacentral:rRNA from 1 species
ACGCUGGCGGCGUGCCUAAUACAUGCAAGUCGAGCGAACGGACGAGAAGCUUGCUUCUCUGAUGUUAGCGGCGGACGGGUGAGUAACACGUGGAUAACCUACCUAUAAGACUGGGAUAACUUCGGGAAACCGGAGCUAAUACCGGAUAAUAUUUUGAACCGCAUGGUUCAAAAGUGAAAGACGGUCUUGCUGUCACUUAUAGAUGGAUCCGCGCUGCAUUAGCUAGUUGGUAAGGUAACGGCUUACCAAGGCAACGAUGCAUAGCCGACCUGAGAGGGUGAUCGGCCACACUGGAACUGAGACACGGUCCAGACUCCUACGGGAGGCAGCAGUAGGGAAUCUUCCGCAAUGGGCGAAAGCCUGACGGAGCAACGCCGCGUGAGUGAUGAAGGUCUUCGGAUCGUAAGACUCUGUUAUUAGGGAAGAACAUAUGUGUAAGUAACUGUGCACAUCUUGACGGUACCUAAUCAGAAAGCCACGGCUAACUACGUGCCAGCAGCCGCGGUAAUACGUAGGUGGCAAGCGUUAUCCGGAAUUAUUGGGCGUAAAGCGCGCGUAGGCGGUUUUUUAAGUCUGAUGUGAAAGCCCACGGCUCAACCGUGGAGGGUCAUUGGAAACUGGAAAACUUGAGUGCAGAAGAGGAAAGUGGAAUUCCAUGUGUAGCGGUGAAAUGCGCAGAGAUAUGGAGGAACACCAGUGGCGAAGGCGACUUUCUGGUCUGUAACUGACGCUGAUGUGCGAAAGC